rnacentral:rRNA from 1 species
AUUGAACGCUGGCGGAAUGCUUUACACAUGCAAGUCGAACGGCAGCACGGACUUCGGUCUGGUGGCGAGUGGCGAACGGGUGAGUAACAUAUCGGAACGUAUCCAAUAAUGGGGGAUAACGAGUCGAAAGAUUCGCUAAUACCGCAUACGCCCUACGGGGGAAAGCUGGGGACCUUCGGGCCUGGCGUUAAUGGAGCGGCCGAUAUCUGAUUAGCUAGUUGGUGAGGUAAAGGCUCACCAAGGCGACGAUCAGGAGCUGGUCUGAGAGGACGACCAGCUAAACUGGAACUGAGACACGGUCCAGACUCCUACGGGAGGCAGCAGUGGGGAAUUUUGGACAAUGGGCGCAAGCCUGAUCCAGCCAUUCCGCGUGAGUGAAGAAGGCCUUCGGGUUGUAAAGCUCUUUCGCAAGGGAAGAAAACUUAGCCACUAACAUUGGUUGAGGUUGACGGUACCUUGAUAAGAAGCACCGGCUAACUACGUGCCAGCCGCCGCCGUAA